GGGUUGUGAGGUUAAGCGACUAAGCGUACACGGUGGAUGCCCUGGCAGUCAGAGGCGAUGAAGGGCGUGCUAAUCUGCGAUAAGCGCCGGUAAGGUGAUAUGAACCGUUAUAACCGGCGAUACCCGAAUGGGGAAACCCAGUGUGACUCGUCACACUAUCAUUAACUGAAUCCAUAGGUUAAUGAGGCGAACCGGGGGAACUGAAACAUCUAAGUACCCCGAGGAAAAGAAAUCAACCGAGAUUCCCCCAGUAGCGGCGAGCGAACGGGGAGGAGCCCAGAGCCUGAAUCAGCAUGUGUGUUAGUGGAAGCGUCUGGAAAGGCGCGCGAUACAGGGUGACAGCCCCGUACACAAAAGCGCAUGUGCUGUGAGCUCGAUGAGUAGGGCGGGACACGUGGUAUCCUGUCUGAAUAUGGGGGGACCAUCCUCCAAGGCUAAAUACUCCUGACUGACCGAUAGUGAACCAGUACCGUGAGGGAAAGGCGAAAAGAACCCCGGCGAGGGGAGUGAAAAAGAACCUGAAACCGUGUACGUACAAGCAGUGGGAGCACAGGUUUACCUGUGUGACUGCGUACCUUUUGUAUAAUGGGUCAGCGACUUAUAUUCUGUAGCAAGGUUAACCGAAUAGGGGAGCCGGAGGGAAACCGAGUCUUAAUUGGGCGUUAAGUUGCAGGGUAUAGACCCGAAACCCGGUGAUCUAGCCAUGGGCAGGUUGAAGGUUGGGUAACACUAACUGGAGGACCGAACCGACUAAUGUUGAAAAAUUAGCGGAUGACCUGUGGCUGGGGGUGAAAGGCCAAUCAAACCGGGAGAUAGCUGGUUCUCCCCGAAAGCUAUUUAGGUAGCGCCUCGUGAAUUCAUCUCCGGGGGUAGAGCACUGUUUCGGCUAGGGGGCCAUCCCGGCUUACCAACCCGAUGCAAACUGCGAAUACCGGAGAAUGUUAUCACGGGAGACACACGGCGGGUGCUAACGUCCGUCGUGAAGAGGGAAACAACCCAGACCGCCAGCUAAGGUCCCAAAGUCAUGGUUAAGUGGGAAACGAUGUGGGAAGGCCCAGACAGCCAGGAUGUUGGCUUAGAAGCAGCCAUCAUUUAAAGAAAGCGUAAUAGCUCACUGGUCGAGUCGGCCUGCGCGGAAGAUGUAACGGGGCUAAACCAUGCACCGAAGCUGCGGCAGCGACACUGUGUGUUGUUGGGUAGGGGAGCGUUCUGUAAGCCUGUGAAGGUGUGUCGUGAGGC
rnacentral:rRNA from 3 species